GGGGGCGAUCGGAUUCGACUGGUUCUUCGCGGGGUGAGGGUUGCGUGUCGUGGUUGAUCAGUUGGCCACGUUAAAAGCUGAUCACAACAAUAACUGCCAACAAGCAGUUCGCAAUGGUUGCCUAAUAUGGUAACCCCGGUUUAGGAAUCCCCGCCUGAGGAGUCCGACUGCCGGUUACAAAUUCGGGCUGGUUCCCGGUCAACGGACGCUACGCCGGGAACGAGACAAGUAGUGACCUGGCUGCUGGAGGAUUCGUACGUCGUUCCAAGAGCAGUGAGAAACCAAACGUCGAACUACACACGUAGAGGCUCCAUCUCAGAGCUCACAGGACGGGGGUUCAAUUCCCCCCGCCUCCAUCC
rnacentral:tmRNA from 1 species